rnacentral:tRNA from 1 species
GGGGGAAUAGCUCAGUGGUAGAGUGUGUGCUUAGCAUGCAUGGGUUCAAUCCCCAGUAUCUCCA